GUGGAAGUAAAAGUCGUAACAAGGUCUCCGUUGGUGAACCAGCGGAGGGAUCAUUAUAGAGUUUUAAACUCCCAACCCGUGUGAACCAUACCUAUGUUUUUGCUAUUCUGUUGCUUUUGGCCGGUGGCUUCCUGGAAACGGGCGGCCCGCAAGGUUGUCAGGCGCUCCUUUGGGGUGUCGGGCGCCGGCCAAAGGUAGCCGUUUGGCUGUUUAUUUAAACGCUUGCUUGCAAUGGCUCGUCUGAGCACUAAAGAAAAGACAAAAUUGUCAAAACUUUCAACAACGGAUCUCUUGGUUCUGGCAUCGAUGAAGAACGCAGCAAAACGCGAUAAGUAAUGUGAAUUGCAGAAUUUAGUGAAUCAUCAAAUCUUUGAACGCACAUUGCGCCUGCCAGUAUUCUGGCAGGCAUGCCUGUCCGAGCGUCAUUUCCACCCUCAGGCGCCUUUUUGCGUCUGCUGUUGGGGCUCUGCGGCCUAGCUGCAGGCCCCGAAAGCAAGUGGCGGGCUGGCUGGUCGGCUCCGAGCGCAGUAAAUUUUCUUCGCUUUGGACGCCCCGGCUUGCGCCCUGCCGUAAAAGCCUUAUUUUUUUAGGUGACCUCGGAUCAGGUAG
rnacentral:rRNA from 1 species